rnacentral:lncRNA from 1 species
UUAGAGAUAAGGUCUGUUGUAUAUUCUACCCUUUCCAUACUCCACUAAUAAAAUUUUUACUGGGUUGUUAUUGUACGCAUUAGGCUUAUCAUUCUCAAUAGUGCUGAUCUGAAAAUGAUAAGAGGGUGAUCAAAAAGGACCUGCAAUGGAUUUUCAUAGAACCCAAGAUCUAUAUAUAGUUGCUUCUCAAAUUACAAGGAUCAAUAAAGACAGCAGGGAAGGCUACAGCGCAGCUACUCACGUAUACUAUAUAAAACAAAAAAUAAGUUUUUGGCUUUGAGAUAAAUCCUUAUUAGUGAUCAUAAGUGGUUUCAUGGAGGUACAAAUGCCAAUAUAUAGUAUAAGCUAUAAAGGGAUGGAUAUGUAGAGAGCGGCAUAUACAAUUAUUACUAAUUAAUUGUGUCUAUACUCAAAUUGCAAAGUACAAAAAGAGAAACAACAACAAUAAAUUCAGUAGUUUUUCACGGGUGGAAUUUGGGGAGGAUUUAUCCCUGAACUGACAGAGAAGCUGUCUCCGAUAGACCCUCAGCUAAUGAACGACCGAAAAAGAAAAGAAAAUUGCAAUAAAUAUGAAUAACAACAAGAUAAAAUAAAAUCGAAUCCAAGAAUGAAGUCAAACUCUAGAUAGUAAUAACUAUCUAUGAAUAAAAAAUAUCAUACUAAUACCAAUGUUAGCGAACCCAUGUCCAGACCUUAAUGAAUCAAAAAAUGGAGAAAAUGAUGGGCUCAAUCUUUCUUAGAUGGCUUAUCAUACUCAGACAUUUAUCUUUCAUAGCAUGUAUGAAUUAUAUAUGCAACAGAAAUUGUGGGCAUCGUGUCGAAAGACAGAGGCACUUAGGUUCCAUUUUUGGCAUUUUACCAAUUGAAUGCUAAGUGCCA